GCCGGUCAUCAUUGGCAAGAGUAAAAGGAACAAGGAGCAGUGAAGAUGUUCAACUUGAAAAUGCCUCGGAUACUUGAUGAGAAAUCUGACUCCGAUGAGUUGGAAACAAAGAUUGGCAGCUUCCACAUGGAUGCUAAUAAUGUCCCAUGGCUUAAUCAUCUUCUCUCUAUAGCUGCAUUGUCUUUGAUCAAUCGUGGUAUUGGCCUAUACUGAAUGGACAAACAUUGCCUUGCAUUAAAUAUAAGCAAAGUUAUUGUCAGCCAGUUCUAUCGCUCUUUCUGUGUUUGAAUAAACUUGAAUUGGACUAUA